rnacentral:rRNA from 1 species
UUUGGUGAUGAUGGCGGAGGGGUUCCACGCGUACCCAUCCCGAACACGGCCGUUAAGCCCUCCAGCGCCGAUGGUACUUGGACCGAAGGGUCCUGGGAGAGUAGGACGCCGCCAAGC